GUCACAGCCAUAGUCAGGUCGUACCGGAUGACUGCGGGGCUGACGGUUCGUGUCGCUACCAGUCCGCUGACAUGGUGCGUCAAUCAACGUGUGGACGGAUUGAGACAGCGUAGUGUCCAUAGAGCUGCAGAGACUUCAGGGAGAAACCUCUGUGUGAUGGACGUCCUGUCUGUUGGUUUGGAGAGGACUGAGGGUCUUUCAUCAGCGAGGAGGACCAGGCCUGAUGGAGGAGCCCAUGCUGGGCAUAGCUGAUAC